rnacentral:misc_RNA from 1 species
UUAAUCUUUUCAUCCAUACAUAACAUAAUAAUGGUUCAUAACUUGAAUCUUAACAUACAUAAUAUCCAAAUUGUAAUAGUUUCAAAUGCAUACCCUCAAAAGGGCUUACACAACAUAAACAUCAUUAUACUUGAAUAAUAUUACAUACUUUCAAAUUCUUUUAAUCCUAUCCAUUCAUAAAUUAUAUGUCCAUCUACCUAUAUAUUAUACAAAAAGAAAGGCUAAUACUACUCUUGAUGCUCUUUCUUCAAAGAACUCUUCUAGUCCAAUAACCUUGCACCUAUUUUCUUGAAAUAUGGAGGCGGAAGAACCAAAACUUUAAAACUUGAAUAAACUCUUCUACACUUCUAAAUGAAAAAAUCCAACUCUAAAUCUUCAAAAACUCAAAGGAAUCUCUUCAAUGAGUUUCUUGUAUGCCCCAAUAGUUGAGAGAGAGAGAGGAAAGAAGAAAAU